AUAUUUAGUUAUCUUUUACUUUUACACAACUUUUUGUAAGUAGUUAAUGGAGAAUUUACAAUAAUUAGUAGAUAGUUAGGCAUUUAAAACAUGUCUAUUAAACUAAUAGCUACUUUUUCAAGCAAUAUGUUCUUUAUAAAUACAUAUUGUUAUGAUAUUAUCUGUGUUCAAGUGUACUUUUCUUGUUAGGGACAUUAAGAUUAUUUAAGAUUUCUUAUAUUAAAUGUUUAGACAGAGAUUCCUCAUUAUAUUUUUAUAUGGAUAACAAAAUUAAUUGCUGCUUUGUAAAUAAUUAUGGAGCUUGUUAUAAACAAUCAUAUACUCAAGAAAGAAAUCUGAUUGAAGAUAUUGACAGCAAUGAUCGUAAGCUACUUGAAAAAUAAACAAAUCUGAAACAAGAACAAAUUAUUAAUAUAUGCACACACCAUCAUGAUAUGUUAGUUGUAAGAUAUGAGGGUAAUCAGAAAAGUUGCUGUAAUCCAUUUUUGAGUCACCAAAAGCAUCUCUACGUGUGAUUACAAUGCAUACUGUGUUAGAAGCAGAAACCAUAGGUUUAAAUCUUAUACCUGGAAAAAAACUGUGUCCAACCUGUCGAAGUAAAGUUAUGACAUGUUUAUCAAUAAGUAUAAGUGAAAAUAAAAAUGAUGAAGAUUUUGAUAUUGUUAAUAAAAGAUCCAUUCAAAAUAAAAAAGAAAGUGUAGAUACACACUUUGCAUCUGCCGGAGUAUCUCCAAUUAAGGUCAAAGGAUUGCACAAGAUAAAAUCAGAGAAGGUAAAUGAAAAUUGACAGCAUUAACAACCUCCAUUUAAAAAAAGGUAGCCAUUUCCCUUAAUAUAUCAGAAGAAAGUUUUGAAGAACAGUCAAGUUUUAAUAAUAAGUAUAUGGAAAAAACAAACUUGUUUGAUAACAUGAUGGUAUUGUUAACUAACAAAAUUACAAAGUCUCCAUCAACAUCAAAAAAAGUACAACUUGCGACACUUGCUCCAACAGACUGGUCAAUAAAAAAGGUAUCUGAAACAUUGCAUGUAACAAACUAUGUAGUUCAAACUGCACGUAAGUUAACAUUAGAAAAAGGUAUUUUAACCAUGCCUAAUCCUAAAUUAGGAAAAGCUCUUCCUGAUGUAACAGUUCAACUGGUCAAGACCUUUUACGAAGACGAUGAACAUAGCCGUAUAAUGCCUGGUAAAAAGGACUAUGUAAGCAUAAAGAAAAAUGUCCACAUGCAAAAACGUUUGCUCUUAUGUAAUUUAAAGGAAUUGUUUGUUGCCUUUAAAACCAAGAGCCCAGAAAUAAAAAUAGGAUUUUCAAGGUUUUGCGACCUAAAUGGUGUAUUACUUUUGGUGCCUCAGGAACACAUUCUGUAUGUGUCUGUGCUAUUCAUCAGAAUUUGAAACUGCUUUUACAUCCUCUUGGUGUGACAUACAAAGAGUUGUUACCUUAAAUUGUCUGUGAUAUAACUAAUAAAGACUGUAUGAUGAGGAAAUGUGAAAAAUGCCCAGCAACUAUGAAUGCAUUGGUUGAAAAACUUUAUGAUAUACUUGAAGAAUUUGAAGAUGAUGAUGAGAUUGAAUUUGAUCAAUUGACAACAACAGAUAGGUCAAACUUGACACAUAAUAAAGAGCCAGUGUUUGAAUACAUUGAACUAGUAUGUAGAAAACUGGAAAAACUUGCACCACAUUCGUAUUUAGCAAAGAGUCAAGCAUUAUACCUGAGAUCAAGAAAGGAAGAUAUGAAUGAGGUAACAGUAUUAUUUCUGGGUGAUUUUUCAGCAAACUAUAAAUUUGUAGUUCAGGAUGAAGUGCAAAGCUUUCAUUGGACAAAUUUGCAAUGUACAUUUCAUCUAGUAAUUAUUUAUUUUUAAAAAGAAGGCAUUCUCAAGCACAAAUCCUAUUGUAUUAUUUCGGAUGAUAUGAUCCAUGAUGUGAACAUGGUUUAUAAAAUUAGUGAGGUUGUUUGCAAUGAUAUAAAAACAAAUUUGCCUCAAAUAAAAAAUAUUGAAUACUUUUCAGAUGGGUGUGCAGGUCAAUAUAAGAAUUGCAAAAAUAUGUUAAAUUUUUGUUUCCAUUGUGAAGAUUUUGGUUUUACUGCUAAAUGGAGCUUUUUUUGCAACUAGUCACGGUAAGCAACCUCGUGAUGGGAUAGGUGGUACAGUCAAACGUCUGGCAACACUAGCAAGUUUGCAAAGAGAUAUGGAUAAUCAUAUUUUAUCUCCACAAACAAUGUAUAAAUAUUGCAAUGAAAACAUUAAAGGCAUAAAUUUCAUAUAUAUUUCAUCAGAAGAUUUAACUUUGGUGAGAACCGCUCUUAAAGAACGAUUGGAUACUGCUAUUACAAUACCUGGAACACGUAGUUACCAUCAGUUUGUACCACCUGGCCAUCAAAAGGUAAAUUAUUAUUUUUUAAUUAUACCUUUUACCAUAUUUUAAAAUACACGCAUAACUUUUAUUGAUAAACUCAAGUAGAUAUUAAAUUUUUGCAGAAUCAUUAUUGAUAAGUAAAACGGAAUAAUUGCAUAUGUUACUAUUUUGUUUAGGUAGGCACUAAGCUAUGCAGUGUUGAUGAAGAAUUUGCUUUAAUUCAUGACCAAAUCAUGACCAAAAAAAAAAAAAAAAAAAAAAAAAAACAUGAC
rnacentral:lncRNA from 1 species